rnacentral:rRNA from 2 species
CUGUGAUCUUAGGCAAUAUCAAUAAGCGGAGGAAAGAAACUAACAGGAUUCCCCUAGUACGGCGAGUGAAGCGGGAUGAGCUCAAAUUUAAAAUCUGGCUGGUUUACCAGUCCGAGUUGUAGUUUAAAGAAGCGUUUUCGGUGGCAGGCCGGGUAUAAAUCCUUUGGAACAGGGUAUCAUAGAGGGUGAGAAUCCCGUCUUUGACUCGGCUGAUGUUACUAUGUGAUACGUUUUCAAAGAGUCGAGUUGUUUGGGAAUGCAGCUCAAAAUGGGUGGUAAAUUUCAUCUAAGGCUAAAUAUUGGCGAGAGACCGAUAGCGAACAAGUACCGUGAGGGAAAGAUGAAAAGAACUUUGAAAAGAGAGUUAAACAGUGCGUGAAAUUGUUGAAAGGGAAACGUUUGACACCAGCUAUGUAGGCGGAAAAUCAGUCAAGCGCAGUGAGGGGCUGGUGUUUGUCCGGACCGCAAGGCCGGCGGAUAUCUCAUCUUUGCUGUGGGUGAUGCACUUUUUCGUUCGCAGGUCAACAUCAGUUUCGCUUGCUGGACAAAACCCCGAGAGAAGGUAGCAGCUUUGGCUGUGUUAUAGCUCUGGGGCGAUACAGUGGGUGGGACUGAGGAUUCGCAGUGUGUGCUCUCGGGCAAGGCUGACUGGGUGCUCUGGGGUCGUUUGGCGUACAAUGCUUGCAUUUUGCGUCUUGUCUUCUUCAGACUCGCUUAGUUCGGCUCUUCCACGCUUAGGAUGUUGACUUAAUGGUUUUAAACGACCCGUCUUGAAACACGGACCAAGGAGUCUAACAUGCAUGCAAGUGUUUGGGUGGCAAACCCAUGCGCGUAAUGAAAGUGAACGUAGGUGCGAUCCGCAAGGUGCAGCAUCGACCGAUCUUGAUAUUUUUGGAUAGAUUUGAGUAAGAGCAUGUAUGCUGGGACCCGAAAGAUGGUGAACUAUGCCUGAAUAGGGUGAAGCCAGAGGAAACUCUGGUGGAGGCUCGUAGCGAUUCUGACGUGCAAAUCGAUCGUCAAAUUUGGGUAUAGGGGCGAAAGACUAAUCGACCAUCCUAGUAACCUGGUUCCUGGCCGAAAGUUUUCCUUCAGGAAUGACCGAAUCUCUUCCGGCUUAU